UACGUAGGGUGCAAGCGUUGUCCGGAAUUAUUGGGCGUAAAGAGCUCGUAGGCGGUUUGUCGCGUCGAAUGUGAAAUCCCGGGGCUCAACCCCGGGUCUGCAUUCGAUACGGGCAGACUAGAGUUCGGUAGGGGAGUCUGGAAUUCCUGGUGUAGCGGUGAAAUGACGCAGAUAUCAGGAGGAACACCGGUGGCGAAGGCGGAUCUCUGGGCCUUGCCUGACGCUGAGGCGCGAAAGCUAGGGGAGCGAACAGG
rnacentral:rRNA from 1 species